rnacentral:rRNA from 1 species
GACGAACCGUGCGAACGUUGCUCGGAAUCACUGGGCGUAAAGGGUGCGUAGGCGGGUCUUUAAGUCAGGGGUGAAAUCCUGGAGCUCAACUCCAGAACUGCCUUUGAUACUGAGGAUCUUGAGUUCGGGAGAGGUGAGUGGAACUGCGAGUGUAGAGGUGAAAUUCGUAGAUAUUCGCAAGAACACCAGUGGCGAAGGCGGCUCACUGGCCCGAUACUGACGCUGAGGCACGAAAGCGUGGGGAGCGAACAGG